rnacentral:lncRNA from 1 species
UUUUACAUAUUGUAUAUAUCAAACAUCAUUAUAUAUAGGAGGGAAACAUAUUUUAAUCACUUCCUUUUUAGUUAUGCCUUGUUGAUUGCUUGAUAUUUGCAUGUUUCUCCAAGUCUUGUGAUCUUGAUGUAUUCUGAACUCAUCCUUGAUGGACGGACAUUGAGAUAUCUCAGGAUCUUUCAGAAUGGAUUGUUGAUAUGUGUGUAUUCCCUACCUUCUUUGGUGUCUUGGGACUGGUUUCUGUAUUUAGAUGUGGAGUGGAGUGUGGCUUUCCUCUCUGAGGUUG